UAGGAGAGCGGAUCCGCCGAAUUUAAGCAUAUAAUUAAGCGGAAGAAAAGAAAAUAACAAUGAUUCCUUUAGUAACGGCGAGUGAACAAGGAUUAAAGCUCAUCAGUUUAAUCCUAGCAUUAUUUUUGUUAGGAAAUGUCUGGUAUUUUAAACAAUAUUCUUUUUGUUGCCUGUACAAUAUGUUGCGUAGAAGUGAGCAGGAAUGCUUUUCCAUAGAGGGUGAAAGUCCCGUAAAUGCAACUCUUUGUGCGUAAUGAUGCUCUAAAAAGAUAUUGUUGAAAGAGUCGUGCUCUUUGAGAUUGGAGUACAAAUAUUUCGUGUGAUACAUUUCACAUAAAGCUAAAUAUAUGUAAGAGACCGAUAGCAAACAAGUACCGUGAGGGAAAGAUGAAAUAGUACUCAGGAAUGAGAAUUAAAUAGUACCUGAAAUCGUUAAGAUGGAACGAAAUAAGAGAGGAAAAAAGAAAAUAAGAAGCAUUAAAAAUAUAAAAAAUAAAAAAAAAAAUAGGUAAUACUAUUUUUUUUUUUUUUUUUUUAUUUUUUUUUUGAUGUCUUAUUUUUAAAAAGAAACAUCAGCGAACUAAUAUAAUUAACAUAAAAACUGACAUAAAAAAAAAAAGGGCUAUUAUAUAUUAGUUUUUUUUUUUUUUUAUAGGUGUGUUUUCACUAACGAUUAGACAUCCGGUUUUUAUUAACACAACAAAAAAAUAAUUAUAUUCAUUUGCUGAGGAUGUAUUAAAAAAAAAGUAAAACAAAAUUAACAUUUUUUUGUUUUUUUUUUUUGUUACUUUUUUUAAGUUGUUUCUAUAAUAGUACUUUCUUAUCUCACUCGUCUUGAAACACGGACCAAGGAGUCUAACAAAUGUGCAAGCGUAUGUGAUUAACAACUAAACAUAUAUUUUUUUUAUACGCGUAAUUAAUGUAAUUUUUUGCAGAAUUAGAACGUUGCCUUAAAAACAACGAUUUAUGCAUGCAAUACCGGUCCUCCUUAAUCAUUAUGUUAGGACUGCGUAAGAGUAUAUUUGUUAGGACCCGAGAGGCUUUGAACUAAGCGUGAUGAGAUUGAAGUCAGACGAAAGUCUGAUGGAGGAUCGAAUUGAUACUGACGUACAAAUCGUUCAUUUCAAUCACGUUUAGGGGCGAAAGACUAAUCGAAAAGCCUAUUAGCUGGUUAUUUUCGAAAGAUCUCUCAGGAUCGCUGGAGUUUUUAUAUUAGUUUUACCAAGUAGAGAUAAUGAUUAGAGGAAUCAGGAAUAUUGUUAUUCUUGACCUAUUCUCAAACUCCCAAUUGGUAAUAAGAGUAUUUUAUAACUUAUAAAAUUAUUUGUAUAAUACUCAAUUAAAUAUUGAACUCCAAGUGGGCCAUUUUUGGUAAGCAGAACUGGCGAUGAGGGAUGCUCCUAACGCUUUGGAUAAGGUGCCUAAAUUAUUCGCUUAUGAGAUCCCAUGAAAAGGUGUUGGUUCAUUAUGACAGUAGGACGGUGGUCAUGGAAGUCGAAAUCCGCUAAGGAGUGUGUAACAACUCACCUACCGAAUGAACUAGCCCUGAAAAUGGAUGGCGCUACAGCGGAUUACCGAUACCAAGCCAUAAAAAAAAAAUAUAUUAUUUAAUAAUUUUUUAUGAGUAGAAAAUCGUGGAGUUUGUGUUGAAGCGUUUAUAUACGUGAGUUAUCGUGAAACAAUUUCUCUAGUGCAGAUCUUGGUGGAAGUAGCAAUUAUUCAAAUGAGAACUUUGAAGACUGAAGUGGAGAAGGGUUUCUUGUCAACUGUGAUUGUACAAGAGUUAGCCGUUCCUAAGAGAUAACUGAAAAGUGAUACAAAAUGAGGCAUAUAUAUAUAUAUAUAUUCUUUUAUUUUAAUUUUUAUUUCGGUAAAAAUUAAAUUAAUUGUAAUAUAUUAUAAAAAUAUAUUAUAUCCUCAUCUCAAAAGGGAAACAGAUUAAUAUUUCUGUGCCAGUUAUAGUAAAGAGACAUAAAAAAAAAAGAUGGUAACAUAUUAAAAAAAAUGAACUCCUUUACAUAGGUCUUACAUUCGAGGUGCGUUUUCUUUGCACUUUAAUUUUUAUAACAGACCUUGGAAUCAAAUUAUUUGGAGAAAAGGUUUGUAGAAUCGGUUUGUAAAGAUUUUAUAAAUAAGUUUUUAUUUAUUUUUUCUAGCAAACUGUAACAAUAGUAGUUUAUUUAUAUAUUGAACUAUUCGAAUCUGUAAGAACUAUCCUUGAAACAAGGAGGGAACUUUUUAAAAAUUUUUACUAUAUAACAUUUGAGCGUACCGACAACCGCAUCAGGUCUCCAAGGUUAGUAGCCUCUGGUUAAGUAGAAAAAAGUAAGUAAGGGAAGUCGGCAAAAUAGAUCCGUAACUUUGGGAAAAGGAUUGGCUCUGAGGACACUAGAGUUAAGAUGUGUAAUAAGAACAAUUAAAUAUGUAGCAAAAAAAAAUAUAUAAAAAAUAAAAGGCAACUUUUUUUUUUUUAUAUUUAUUUUUGUUGUGUGUUUAAUAUAUUUUUUAUUAUUUUCAUCUACUCACUUAAAAAAAGUGGUUCAGGUAUAUAAAAAAAAAGAACACUUUUUAAUACUUGUAUUAUGGUUUUUUUUUUUUUUUUAUGCCUCACUUUUUUUUUUUUUUAUGUGUCAACUCAGAACUGAAACGGACAAGGGGAAUCCGACUGUUUAAUUAAAACAUAGCAUUGUGAUUAGCUAUGAGAUAGUAUUGACACAAUGUGAUUUCUGCCCAGUGCUUUGAAUGUCAA
rnacentral:rRNA from 1 species